rnacentral:rRNA from 1 species
GAUGAACGCUGGCGGCGUGCUUAACACAUGCAAGUCGAACGGGAAUUAUUUUAUUGAAACUUCGGUCGAUUUAAUUUAAUUCUAGUGGCGGACGGGUGAGUAACGCGUGGGUAACCUGCCUUAUACAGGGGGAUAACAGUCAGAAAUGGCUGCUAAUACCGCAUAAGCGCACAGAGCUGCAUGGCUCAGUGUGAAAAACUCCGGUGGUAUAAGAUGGACCCGCGUUGGAUUAGCUGGUUGGUGGGGUAACGGCCCACCAAGGCGACGAUCCAUAGCCGGCCUGAGAGGGUGAACGGCCACAUUGGGACUGAGACACGGCCCAGACUCCUACGGGAGGCAGCAGUGGGGAAUAUUGCACAAUGGGGGGAACCCUGAAGCAGCGACGCCGCGUGAAGGAAGAAGUAUCUCGGUAUGUAAACUUCUAUCAGCAGGGAAGAUAGUGACGGUACCUGAAUAAGAAGCCCCGGCUAACUACGUG